GCCCGGCCGCAGGUCAAGUCAUGAUCGGACUGAAAGACAGCACCGGCCUCCGGAGCCGGGUGCGCUGGUUCGAAUCCAGCAGGGGGCG
rnacentral:tRNA from 1 species